rnacentral:rRNA from 1 species
CCUACGGGUGGCAGCAGUGAGGAAUAUUGGUCAAUGGUCGGGAGACUGAACCAGCCAAGCCGCGUGAGGGAUGAAGGUACAGAGUAUCGUAAACCUCUUUUGUCAGGGAACAAAGGCGGGGACGUGUCCCCGGAUGAGUGUACCUGAAGAAAAAGCAUCGGCUAACUCCGUGCCAGCAGCCGCGGUAUUACGGAGGAUGCGAGCGUUGUCCGGAUUUAUUGGGUUUAAGGGGUGCGCGGGCGGUCUGUUAAGUCAGCGGUCAAAGCCCGGGGCUCAACCCCGGCCCGCCGUUGAAACUGGCAGUCGCGAGUUGGAGAGAAGUAUGCGGAAUGCGCGGUGUAGCGGUGAAAUGCAUAGAUAUCGCGCAGAACUCCGAUUGCGAAGGCAGCAUGCCGGCUCCACACUGACGCUGAGGCACGAAAGCGUGGGUAGCGAACAGGAUUAGAUACCCGGGUAGUC